UGGAGCCUUCUGCAGAGCCUGAG
rnacentral:piRNA from 1 species